GUACAUUUAGCAACAAAACAGUUUAGACAGCAACAGUUGUGUGACUUUGAAAAAUCACCAAAAAUGGUGGAAAUUUAAUUAGAGGCUGAAUAAUAUAUGAAAUUGAAGCUUAAUGAGUCUAUUUUCACAUAAAAGAAAUAGAAAAAGCAAAAGAGUUAUAUAUUUUGAGAUAUUUGAAGUUUAAUUAGACAGAGUCAGAAUGAGUUUGGAAUCCCCUAUUUUGACUUUGGAAAAUUGUAAAAAAUUGUACAAAAAUAAUUAUGGGAUAAAGUUUAUAUGUUUAGAAUUAUCAGUGAAUC
rnacentral:lncRNA from 1 species